rnacentral:misc_RNA from 1 species
GAACGCAUAUUGCACUCUCUGGUAUUCCGGAGAGUAUGCCUGUUUGAGGGUCUGUUAAAUAAAAAUCGAGGUUGUUGCUGCCUUUUUUGUGUGGUGACGCUUUGGAAUUGGGUUUUCUUUACCUUCGGGUUAAGUGGCCUAAAAUUUUUACAUGAUUUUUCGAACGUAUUUAAAUCUUUUACGUACGUUUGGUUAUAUCGAAUAUAUUAGGUGUGGUCAUCUUCAUGAUUUCACGUCUAUAAUUUUUUCAUUUUUAGACCUCAAAUCAGGUAAGAACACCCGCUGAACUUAAG